AGCAUUUAUUCAUAUGAUGGGAUUUCAAGAGGGUGAGAGCAGAGCCCUCGAAGGUGAUUGCAGGGCGCAGAAGAGGUGUCCAAGGGCUUCAAAGACUUCCCUUAAGGCCUGUCCUGCUUACAAGAAAUGCAAUCAGGGGGAGCAGAAUGACGCAGAGGAGUCUGGAAGCUCAGGAUUGCAUUAAGCGACUUUCCCAUACUGUGAGGAGAUGUGGUGGGGACCAUUAACUGUUGGAAGGAUUCCUUUUAAGGAUGCAUUAUAUCAAGAGCUAGAUAUCAGAGCCACUUGGGAGAAAUAAGAAACAGGUGUAGAAACAGGGAAUUUGGUUCUGUGGUAUUGUUGGAGGUGACGUGCUUCAGCUGCUGAAGACUAAAUUAUUUGGGAUCCAGUGACCCUGGCCUUGAAGUUCAGCUGCAGGAUGGAGCUGACAUCACCCAAGCUCAAGUCCAUUCUGCUUCUGCUUCCUCAACACAGUGAGGUGGCCACUGUUCCUACCACUUUGACAGCAGGGAAAAGAGGCAGAGAGGAUCUGGGGCUGGGGCUGGAGCUACAGCUGGAGGGAAUUCACAAGCAAGCUGCAUUUUAAGGUUGUGGUGAAGAAAGAAGAAGCCAGAAGAAGAGAGUUCCUUAAUGCUGGAGAAUACCAUCCAAACCUUGUUAUAAAGCACAUGAGUUUCUGGGGUGCCUGCAUGAUUGAGCUUACACUUUAUCAGGGGAAUUGUUGCCACCGAUUAUAGAUGUUGAAAAACUCAAUAUUUAGAGGAGAAAAUUGAUAAAAGUUUUAUUUGGUUAUAUAAAAAUAAUACUGAGAACAGUCAUUUAUGUGGUUACUUAACAGUCACUUAUGUGGUUAUUUAUGGCUUUUGCUGUGCAGAAAAAUGAAUACCAUGCAGUAUUUUAAAUUGGUGUCGAAUUAACUGUGUAAACUGCUGUUGAUUAAACUUCACAGCUAGUGACUCAUGGUUCAAAAUUUUAAAAAUUCCAGUGAACAUUAACGUGUCUCACUCCGGUGUUGUCUUAUACACUUUUGC
rnacentral:lncRNA from 1 species